rnacentral:rRNA from 1 species
GACGAACGCUGGCGGCGUGCCUAAUACAUGCAAGUUGAGCGCUGAAGGUUGGUACUUGUACCGACUGGAUGAGCAGCGAACGGGUGAGUAACGCGUGGGGAAUCUGCCUUUGAGCGGGGGACAACAUUUGGAAACGAAUGCUAAUACCGCAUAACAACUUUAAUCACAAGUUUUAAGUUUGAAAGAUGCAAUUGCAUCACUCAAAGAUGAUCCCGCGUUGUAUUAGCUAGUUGGUGAGGUAAAGGCUCACCAAGGCGAUGAUACAUAGCCGACCUGAGAGGGUGAGCGGCCACAGUGGGACUGGGACACGGCCCAAACUCCUACGGGAGGCAGCAGUAGGGAAUCUUCGGCAAUGGACGAAAGUCUGACCGAGCAACGCCGCGUGAGUGAAGAAGGUUUUCGGAUCGUAAAACUCUGUUGGUAGAGAAGAACGUUGGUGAGAGUGGAAAGCUCAUCAAGUGACGGUAACUACCCAGAAAGGGACGGCUAACUACGUGCCAGCAGCCGCCGUAA